rnacentral:rRNA from 1 species
CCUACGGGGUGCAGCAGUGGGGAAUAUUGGUCAAUGGAGGCAACUCUGAACCAGCAACGCCGCGUGCAUGAUGAAGGUCUUCGGAUUUUAAACCUCUGUGAUUGUGGAUAUACACAGUUACGGUACCCCAAUAGCAAGCCACGGCUAACUCAGUGCCAGCAGCCCCUGUAAUACGGAGGUGGCAAGCGUUAUCCGGAAUGACGGGGUGUAAAGGGUGCGUAGGUGGUUUAGUAAGUUAGCGGUGUAAUUCCGGGGCUCAACCUCGGCUCGACAACCAAAACUAGUAGACGAGAGUGCAGGUGGGGUAAGUGGAAUUCCUAGUGUAGCGGUGGAAUGCGUAGAUAUUAGGAAGAACAUCAGGGGCGAAGGCGACUUACUGGACUGUAACUGACACUGAGGCACGAAAGCGUGGGGAGCAAACAGGAUUAGAUACCCCAGUAGUC